rnacentral:lncRNA from 1 species
AGGGUUUCAUUCGAGAGUUCCUUCAGUUUUCUCUGCCUUUCUCUCUUUCUCUCUCUGUGUCUUUGUGAUCAUGCACUGAAAUCAUCAGUUCGUACAUUGAGGGCACACCUGUCUCUCAAAUUCACUCACUUGUGUGGAUCUAACCAGAACUCUGCAGCUGGAAUUUUAGGAUGGAUAUUGAGAUGGAUUUUGGGAUUGCCGUGUACUUCGUUUAACGCUGAAUCUGCCGCACAAGACAAGGUGAAAAAGGGUUUCAGAGAGGUUGAAGUAGUCUGGGUCAGCAAACACGUCUCUUCUGCAUCAUAGAGAUUCAGGACACAUUCUGGUGAGUCAUCAGUGGAAGUUUAUUUUUUUUUUAUUAUUCUGAAAUAUUAUUCUGACGUGCUUUUGCCAUAAUUUGUUUCGAUGAUAUGUUGUGGCGCAGUUCAAGCAUUGUGAGGUUCAAACACUUAAACUUUGACCCCAAUGGCUGCUGACCUUUUGAAGCACAGCCAAAGAUUACUGGAAAUUUACAUGAUUACGUGGGCGGUGUUGGCAUGAAAAUGAACAAGAUGGAUAGAGACUGAUCCUGUGCAUCUAGAUACAAUAAGGUGCAAACUGCCAAUGGUGGGUGCAUUCAAAUGGCUGGGAUUUUUUUUGUAGUAUUUUGAAUUUUUUUUAUACAUAAAUAUAUAUUUUUGUCCUUGUGACAAUGGGAUUAUUCAGCUGUUUUCCUUGUAUAAUUGAGACAAUCUCUGCAGCACUGUCAGUGUGUCAAUCAUAGAUAUGGAAGAUGAACCAGUCACUUUCUAUCUGGAAAAUGGCACCUGUGAGUAAAAUGACGGACACAUUGUGCUUCUUACUAACAUUUUAUGUUUGGGUAGCUUACUGUGAGGAAUCUUUCCGACCCAAGCUCAUGAAAAAAUACCAGGUGCGCUACUGAGCAAUUUUUACUAUAUUGGGAAAGACACAUAUAUGGAGCUGGUUAUGUGAUACACAUUAAAAAUGUAUUAGUUUACAAAUCAUGCAUUAUGAUAAAAGUGCUUUGAGGUGAUAUAGUAUUGUGUACACUGUAAAAAACUGAUUGAUUUUUACAGUAAAAUACUGUAAAAAUGCUACAGUGAAAACCUGUUAAAUUGUUAACACUAAGUUUCCAUAUUAUAUUCGGUGAAUAAAUGCAAUUACAUUUAAUGCAUUUACAGUAAAAUACUAGUU